UCCAAAUUUCCAAAACCUAAGUCCGAGUCUUGUCCUCAGUUUUCCGGCCUACAGUUCACCAGAAGAGAAGAAGAAGUAGUUGCUCGAUUUUCUGGUCCGACCGUCUCCGAUUAAGAUGGACUACGAGAACAAACUCGUCCUCGCUCCUAUGGUUCGCGUUGGAACGUUACCGUUUAGAUUAUUAGCUGCACAAUACGGUGCAGACAUCACCUAUGGAGAGGAAAUUAUCGACCAUAAGAUGAUCAAAUGCGAGCGUAGAUUAAAUGAGCAUCUUGGUUCAACUGAUUUUGUAGAGAAGGGGACAAACAAUGUUGUUUUCAGGACCUGCAGCCUAGAAAGAAAACGAGUUGUUUUUCAAAUGGGUACUUCUAAUGCUGCGAGGGCUCUAAGUGCUGCUCAAAUACUGUGUCAAGACGUUGCUGCAAUAGAUAUCAACAUGGGUUGCCCUAAGUCAUUUUCCAUCAGUGGGGGCAUGGGUGCGGCAUUAUUGAAUAAACCUGACCUUAUUCAUGAUAUUCUGACAACAUUGAGGAGAAACUUGGACAUUCCAAUUACCUGUAAGAUUCGACUUUUAAAGUCAUCCCAGGAUACUGUGGAGUUAGCUAGACGAAUAGAAACUACUGGUGUUUCAGCUCUUGGUGUUCAUGGAAGAAGAGUUGCAGAUAGACCAAGAGAUCCGGCUAAGUGGAGUGAGAUUGCAGAUGUUGUGGCAGCAUUGACUAUUCCUGUUAUUGCAAAUGGUGAUAUCUUUGAGUUUGAUGAUUUUCAACGGAUCAAAGUUCAUACAGGUGCUUCCUCAAUGAUGGUUGCUCGAGGAGCUCUUUGGAAUGCUUCAAUCUUCUCUCCAGAAGGAAAAUUACCAUGGGAAGAUGUGAAAAGAGAAUAUGUUAGGAAGGUGAGAGCAUCUUGUGGGAUAAUGAUAUCAAAGGUACAAAGCACACGCUAAAAGAAAUGAUAAUGCAUUAUUCUUGCCUUGAACUGCCAGAAGGAAAGGCCUUGAUAAAAUCUGAAUCAUUGGCAGAUAUAGCGAAACUUUAUGGUGAGGAAAAUUACUAUCAAUUUGUUCAAGAGAACCGGUUGUUCAACGGAAGUAGAUGACGAUGUUUCCUAGUUCAACUUCCAAUCAAAGAUGCUUGUUCCUAUACUUCAAUAUAGAAACCGAUGAGCUCUCAGUAAAACCCAUUUAAUUGAUUAUACAGAUACAUCAGGUAUAUUACUGUAUCAUCCUUUGGAAUAGUAUGAUGUUGAAUGCUUACGGCAGCAUUAUAAUUAUAUUAAUAUAUUUUUUCGCCUUUCACUCUUAUAAUGUUGAAAACACCGAGUUAGUUACCUGCCACAGUUAAUGUCAGUGAUUAUAUCCAAUAGACACUUCGGAAACGAAAUGGCACAGUUAUUACCGUUA